GACCAACCUUUAAAGACUGCUGCAUCUUUAGGAUAUUCUAGUCCAACAUCGAGGUCACAAACUCUCUUUUCGAUAAGAACUCUCAAAGAGAAUUAUGCUGUUAUCCCUAUGGUAACUAAUUUCAUUAAUCAAAAUUUCUGGAUCAAUACCCGUUAGUCUAAUUCACUAUAAAGAAGCUUUAUUUGUUCCAUAGUCGCCCCAACCAAAAUCUUAAAUAGAUCAACAUUUAAAGCUAUAUAUUGUUUUCAAUUUAUUUAUUUAAAGCUCAAUAGGGUCUUCUUGUCUUUCAAUAAUAUCUAGGUUUCUUCACCUAAAAAUCAAAUUCUAAAAAAUUACAUAGAGACAGUCUUGUUCACGUCAAACCAUUCAUACUAGCCCUCAAUUAUAGGGCAAAUGAUUAUGCUACCUUUGCACGGUCAGAGUACCGCGGCCGUUAAAAUACAUUCACUGGGCAGGUCCGACUC
rnacentral:rRNA from 1 species